rnacentral:rRNA from 1 species
AUUGAACGCUGGCGGCAGGCUUAACACAUGCAAGUCGAGCGGGGGAAGGUAGCUUGCUACCGGACCUAGCGGCGGACGGGUGAGGAAUGCUUAGGAAUCUGCCUAUUAGUGGGGGACAACAUCUCGAAAGGGAUGCUAAUACCGCAUACGUCCUACGGGAGAAAGCAGGGGAUCUUCGGACCUUGCGCUAAUAGAUGAGCCUAAGUCGGAUUAGCUAGUUGGUGGGGUAAAGGCCUACCAAGGCGACGGUCUGUAGCGGGUCUGGGAGGAUGAUCCGCCACACUGGGACUGAGACACGGCCCAGACUCCUACGGGAGGCAGCAGUGGGGAAUAUUGGACAAUGGGGGGAACCCUGAUCCAGCCAUGCCGCGUGUGUGAAGAAGGCCUUAUGGUUGUGAAGCACUUUAAGCGAGGAGGAGGCUACUCUAGUUAAUACCUAGGGAUAGUGGACGUUACUCGCAGAAUAAGCACCGGCUAACUCUGUGCCAGCCGCCGCCGUAAGAC